UUUCCGUAGGUGAACCUGUGGAGGGAUCAUUACAGAGUUCAUGCCCUAACGGGUAGAUCUCCCACCCUAUGUUAUCAUCACUUUGUUGCUUUGGCGGGCCGUCAGGCCUCGGCUUGGCUACCGGCUCGCGCUGGUAAGCGCCCGCCAGAGAAACCCAAACUAUGAAUAUCAGCGUCGUCUGAGUACUAUAUAAUAGUUAAAACUUUCAACAACGGAUCUCUUGGUUCUG
rnacentral:misc_RNA from 1 species